GUCUUUUAGAAUAAGAGUGGUGCAGUAUUCUAGUCAAUCCUCCAUUCUUGAAGGCGGGGCUAAAAAUCCGCCAAAGGGCACAUCGAUGAAGCUCCUUGUGAUGGCUUGAGGCGCCCAGCCUUGGGUCAUUGCUGGGAGAAAAGGUAGUAGGGCGAUCCACAAAGGCAUGUGGGCGAUGACCCUCCUACUGUGGAGGCCUUUUUCUCUGCUGCUUAUGUAUGGACAUAGGGCAAGAGCAAAGGGUAUGAACCUGCGAAGGCAAGCUAGGGAGCUUGUCAGCAGCGUAGCCUGCCUUGAGUGGAGUAGAGGGGAUUAUGGGUUUUGAAGCAAUCCGCUGUCGGCCAACAGCCAUUGCCUCUCUAGUACCAUAUGAAAUCUGCUCUGCAAAAGAGGAUAAGAGAAUGGCAAGGGAUUGCCGAGGAAAACUCCUAGACUGUUCCAUGGGGACAUUUAAAGAGGAUUACAGUGUGGACUAAGUGGUAAUCCAGUCUGGCGUUUGGUGACAGCGCCAAGUUCAACAUAAAGGGAAACCGCCAGCGCGGCGACGCACUGGUGUUGAAUUGGGAAAUCCUACUGGACCUAAGCCACAGAGUUUACUCUUUAAAUGACCACUCUCAUACAUACGCAG
rnacentral:sRNA from 18 species